AUGAACGCUGGCGGCGUGCCUAACACAUGCAAGUCGAACGAAGCGCCUCGCCCGACGAAGUGGAGUGCUUGCACAAAGCGGAAUCAAUUGAGGCGACUUAGUGGCGGACGGGUGAGUAACGCGUGGGUAACCUGCCUUAUACAGGGGGAUAACAGUUAGAAAUGACUGCUAAUACCGCAUAAGCGCACAGUAUCGCAUGAUACGGUGUGAAAAACUCCGGUGGUAUAAGAUGGACCCGCGUCUGAUUAGCCAGUUGGCAGGGUAACGGCCUACCAAAGCGACGAUCAGUAGCCGGCCUGAGAGGGUGAACGGCCACAUUGGGACUGAGACACGGCCCAAACUCCUACGGGAGGCAGCAGUGGGGGAUAUUGCACAAUGGGGGAAACCCUGAUGCAGCCGACGCCGCGUGAGCGAAGAAGUAUUUCGGUAUGUAAAGCUCUAUCAGCAGGGAAGAAAAUGACGGUACCUGACUAAGAAGCUCCGGCUAAAUACGUGCCAGCAGCCGC
rnacentral:rRNA from 1 species